rnacentral:rRNA from 1 species
UACAGAGGUCUCAAGCGUUGUUCGGAUUCAUUGGGCGUAAAGGGUGUGUAGGUGGCGCGCUAAGUCGGGUGUGAAAUUUCGGAGCUUAACUCCGAAACUGCAUUCGAUACUGGCGUGCUAGAGUGCGGAAGGGGCAACUGGAAUUCUUGGUGUAGCGGUGAAAUGCGUAGAUAUCGGGAGGAACACCUGCGGUGUAGACGGCUUACUGGACCGUAACUGACGCUGAGGCACGAAAGCGUGGGGAGCAAACAGG